CUGCUUUCUACCAGAGACAAUAUGAUAUAUGAGAAAAUGAUCUGGCUUUCGGCUCAGCUAAAUUUGGGGACAAAUUGCAGCUCAUUCACUCCCUUCAGUGUCCCUGGAGAUGGAGUUUUUCCACAUUGUCCAGUCUGGUCUUGAACUUCUGGGCUCAAGCAAUCCACCUGCCUUGGCCUCCCAAAGUGCUAACUAACCACUGCGCCCAGCCUUAUUGCUUAGCUUUUAAUUAUGCCUAUGUCUCAUUGUUUACAUAUUGGAAUUAUGAGGUUG
rnacentral:lncRNA from 10 species